rnacentral:lncRNA from 1 species
GCUUGCAUACAAUGCCUCAUAUAUGACUUUAAACUGUCCAGAUGUCAAUGCUAGAUGAUAGGCUAUGUUACAUGCAAGUAAUGGUCAAACACAGUAUAAUGAAUCCUAUUUGUAAAGUAAUUUUACCGGUAGGAGACAUUGUAGUUUUUAUUUGUGGGCUUGGACUUAUGAUUUCUGAUUUAAUGUAUGACACAAGUUUUGCUCAUUGUUGAAGAUUGUACGAUGGCAAACAGUUGUUUACAUCCUAAUACUUUCGUCUUUGUUCGAUACUUGUCUUAUUGGCAGUCUUAACACAUCUCCAUAUAUUUUAUUUCAAAUACUGUAGAAGACAAGAAUUGGUUGUGUUUUGAUUAUUUCAAAUGGCAUACUUUGUUCAAUAUCUUUAAGCCUGUGAAAAGGAAUUGUAUUGUCUAAUGUGAAAACUGCUGACCACGUUCAUGAUAACAACAUGCCUCUGAUAUACAGAUUAAUUCCUGGCUUUGUAGUUUGUACAGCAAUUAACUGAAGCUAGAUUUUUUAUGUCCAGUUCAGGUUCAUUAUACUUAUUUUGGAAUUAAUCCAUAAAGUCAAGUUUUGAUGCAAGUAACAAUCUAUACCAAGUACUGGCAUU